GUGUAAUAGUGGUAGUAGUAGUAGUAGUAGUUGUUGUAUUAGUGGUAAUAGAGGUUGUAUUGGUAGUAGUAGUGGUAGUAGUAAUAGUGGUGGUGGUAGUAGUAGUAUUAGUAGUGGUAGAAGUAGUAGUAGUAGUAGUAGUUGUAUUAGUGGUAAUAGUGGUAGUAGUUGUAUUAGUGGCAAUACUGGUAGUAGUAGUAGUAGCAGUAGUGUUAGUAGUUGUAGUUGUAUUAGUGGUAAUAGUAGUAGUAGUAGUAGUAGUGUUAGUAGUUGUAGUUGUAUUAGUGGUAAUAGUGGUAGAAGUAGUCGCAGUAGUAGUAGUAGUGUUAGUACUAGUAGUUGUAUUAGUGGAAAUAGUGGUAGUAGUAGUAGUUGAUUUAGUGGUAAUAGUGGUAGUAGUAGUGGCAGUGGUAAUAGUGGUAGUAGUAGUAGUAGUUAAAGUAUUAGUUGUCGUGGUAGUAGUAGUAGUAGCAGCAAUAGUAGGUGUGUAGUAGUGGUAGUAGUAGUAGUGGUAGUGGUGAUAGUAGUAGUAGUGGUAGCGGUAGUGGUAGUAGUGGUAGUAGUUGUAGUAGUAGCAAUAGUAGUAGUGGUAGUAGUUGUAGUAGUACUGGUAGUAGUAGUGGUGGUGGUAGUAGUGGUUGUGGUAGUAGUAGUAGUAGUAGUAGUAGUGGUAGUAGUAGUAGUAGUAGUAGUAGUAGUGGUAGUAGGAAUAAUCGUGGUGGUAGAAGUAAUGGUGGUGGUAGUGGUAGUAGUAGUAAUGGUAGUAGUGGUAGUAGUCGAAGUAGUAGUAGUGGUAGUAGUAGUAGUAGUGGUGGUAGUAUUAGUAAUAGUAGUGGUAGUAGUAAUAGUGGUGGUGGUAAUAGUAGUAGUAGUGGUAGUAGUGGUAGUAGUAGUGGUGGUAGUAGUAGUAGUAGUAGUGGUGGUGGUGGUAGUAGUAGUAGUAGUGGUGGUUUUAGUAGUAGUGGUAGUAGUAGUAGUAUUAGUAUUAGUAGUGGUAGUGGUAGUUGUAGUAGUAGUGGUAGUGGUAGUGGUAGUGUUCGUAGUACUAGUAGUAGUGGUGGUGGUAGUAGUGGUGGUAGUAGUAGUAGUGGUAGUAGUAGUAGUAGUAGUAGUAUAAGUAGUGGUAGUAGCGGUACUAGCAGUAGUAGUAUUAGUAGUGGUAGUAGUAAUAGUGGUGGUGGUAGUAGUAGUAGUUGUGGUAGUAGUAGUAGUAUUAGUAGUUGUAGUAGUAGUAGUGGUGGUGGUGGUGGUAGUAGUAGUAGUGGUGGUAGUAGUAGUAGUGGUAGUAGUAGUAGUAUUAGUGUUAGUAGUGGUAGUUGUAGUAGUAGUGGUAGUAGUAGUGGUAGUGGUAGUGUCCUUAGUAGUAGUAGUGGUGGUGGUAGUAGUAGUAGUAGUGGUGGUAGUAGUAGUGGUAGUAGUAGUAGUAGUAGUAUAAGUAGUGGUAGUAGCGGUAGUAGCAGUAGUAGUAGUAUUAGUAGUGGUAGUAGUAAUAGUGGUGGUAGUAGUAGUAGUUGUCGUGGUAGUAGUGGUAGUAGUAGUAGUAUUAGUGUUAGUAGUGGUAGUGGUAGUUGUAGUAGUAGUGGUAGUAGUAGUGUCCUUAGUAGUAGUAGUGGUGGUGGUAGUAGUAGUAGUAGUGGUGGUAGUAGUAGUGGUAGUAGUAGUAGUAGUAGUAUAAGUAGUGGUAGUAGCGGUAGUAGCAGUAGUAGUAGUAAUAGUGGUGGUGGUAGUAGUAGUAGUUGUGGUAGUAGUGGUGGUAGUAGUAGUAGUAAUGGUAGUAGUGGUAGUAGUAGUAGUAGUAGUAGUAGUAUUAGUAGUGGUAGUAGUAGUAGUGGUAGUAGUAGUAGUAGUUGUAUUAGUGGUAAUAGUGGUAGUAGUUGUAUUAGUGGCAAUACUGGUGGUAGUAGUAUUAGUAGCAGUAUUAUUAUUAUUAGUAGUGUUAGUAGUUGUUGUUGUAUUAUUGGUAAUAGUGAUAGUAGUAGCAGUAGUAGUAGCGGUAGUAGCAGUAGUAGUAGUAUUAGUAGUGGUAGUAGUAAUAGUGGUGGUAGUAGUAAUAGUUGUCGUGGUAGUAGUGGUAGUAGUAGUAGUAUUAGUGUUAGUAGUGGUAGUGGUAGUUGUAGUAGUAGUGGUAGUAGUAGUGUCCUUAGUAGUAGUAGUGGUGGUGGUAGUAGUAAUAGUGGUGGUGGUAGUAGUAGUAGUAGGAGUAGUAGUUGUAGUGGUAGUAGUAGUGGUAGUAGUUGUGGUAGAGGUAGUGGUAGUAUUAGUAGUUGUAGUGGUUGUAGUAAUAGUGGUGGUGGUAGUAGUAGUAGUCGUGGUAGUAGUAGUAGUAGUGGUAGUAGUGGUAGUAGUAGUGGUGGUAGCAGUAGUAGUAGUAGUUGUAGUAGUGGUGGUGGUGGUUGUAGUAGUUGUGGUGGUAGUAGUAGUAGUGGUAGUAGUAGUAGUAGUAUUAGUGUUAGUAGUAGUAGUUGUAGUAGUAUAGUUGUAGUAGUAGUAGUAGUGGUAGUAGUGGUAGUGGUAGUAGUAGUUGUAGUAGUAGUGGUAGUAGUAGUGGUAGUAGUAGUUGUAGUAGUAGUGGUAGUAGUGGUUGUAGUAGUAGUAGUGGUAGUGGUAGUAGUAGUAGUGGUUGUAGUAG
rnacentral:lncRNA from 1 species